CAGAAUGACAUAUCCCUUAAUAGGAUAAUUUUACUAAGAUAUAGUAGGCUAUAUAUCUUAUAUACACACAUUCUUUAUUAAUGAGGUGAGAUUUCAAAAAAUUAAUCCCACAAGUUGAGACACCCAAAACAUAACAUGCAGCACCAUGCUAUAAAGACAAUAUAUGUCCCUUAAUAGAAUUAUGAUAAUUUUAUUGGUUUCCUUAAUACUAUAUUUGGGAGGAGGUUUUUAGAGAUAAAUAAAGGUUUAAAAUUAGUUCUUAUGUCUAAUUGCUAUACUUCAAAAAGUCAAAUUGUUUUUUAAUUCUUUCACGUGAUUUCUCUCAAAUCUGUCUUGAUCUUAACGCAUAAAUGAUGAAAGGCUUAUAACUUAAAAUAGUCUAUAAUGGAAGGUGAUGAGGUUUGGAGUAGUUGCAAAUUUAGGAAAAAGCCAAAUACCUCCACACCAUUGUAAAUUAUCACCACAAACUUACGUUUCUUUUCUUUUGGUGACUGUAAUUUCAUUGUUUCUUUCAUCUAUUGGCUUCGUCUUCACGUUCUAUCAUCCUCAUUGAAUAAAAUUUCCAUAUGUGUCUGCCUUGGAUUUUGGACCGUCUAUUUUAAAUUUUCAAAUAAAAUGUCAUUAGUUUAUUGUAUUUGUUGUUGGUGUCCACGUAAAGAAAAAAAAACUAAGUUAUGAAAAUAUAAAAUAAGGAAAAACUAAGCUAGAUUGGUUUAAAUCAUUUUGAUGGAAAUAAUCUCAAGUUUAAUAUAAAGACUGAUAUCAUUAGUCAUCCAUUUAUUUUGGGUCAAAAU
rnacentral:misc_RNA from 1 species